CAUGGCGCCGUUCAACAGAUCAGCUUCGCUUGUCGAAUGGAUAAACGCAGAUCUCGGCACUAAUACGCUCUGUGUUUAGACUAGUAAACAUGUGAAACUGCGAUCGCGUGGCCUCCGCUGUAGAAUCAACGCCGCCAGACACAUGUACGGAAUAGGCAGCUGUAGAUGCAUUUUGGACUGGCUUUUGCAACAGCGCAAAGCGAAGUGCGGAGGCCAUGCGAUCGUAGCUGCCUCAGAUAUGGCUUCAUUAUGACUGCAGCUAAUCUAAAAAAAGGAGUGUAGAACACCAAGCUGCCUCAGUGCCGCGGCUGGAAUGCCACAGUGCCUACAGCAGACCGCCGCCUCCGAGCGACGUGUAAGCGAAUGCGAGCGCCACCUGAGCGGAACAUCCGAGAAGCCCACGCGAGAGGCGGCGCCUUGCGCACACUUCCCCUAUUCUAGCCACUGUCCUUUCGCCACUAUUUUGUCGCUUUCCAGCAUCUUCACCAGACGCCAAAUACAACUUACGCCAACAUAAAUUGAAAGGUUACUAUGGAAGCAUCGCAUAAAGAAUAAAAGAAAUAAAUAAUAUGCAGGACGUGACUUUAGCUUACCACUGAUAUGACAAAUCAGUGGCAGACCCAGCGGGAGACGUGUUGAGGUCGGGAAAGUAAAUAAAUAUUGCGCUCUUUGUAUCCCUGUUAUCAUUUCGCCCUUAUCGAGCAUUUAUGUAGAAAUGUGUUCAUUGAAAUGCAUCACAUUCAUUUCAGUGCGUUGUCAUUCUGAAGAAAAUAAGUUACAGUAAUAAACUCUAAAAAAAAAACAAGAAGGUGGUUGCCGCACUAGCGAUGCGAGCGCCAUGUAGGUGCAGCGGCCGUGUUAAAAGUUUGUGCUUUGAGAAUUACCGCUGUUGGAGCGCUAUGUCAGUGGCUUUGCAGCUGGUUUAUUCUAUAUUCCAUGCUAUUGCAGUUUCACGUUUACAUGCGGUUUUUUCUUUUUCUGGCGUGUUUGCUCACAUAUUUAGCAUGUCUAGCGUGAUGUUCGGUGCGGUUUGCGAGCCCCUGCUAUUCGCAUUCACUACGAGUUAACGUUGCCGUGCUUACCGCACCAAGUUUGGGCUGACGUUCAUGGUAUCGUAAAAGACAUUCUUGAUGCUUGCGCCGGCGUGUUAUCCUCACCGUCCGCUUGCUUCCAAACGAAGUGACCUAAGGAUGAACCAUAGGCUGAACGCUAAGCCGCUAAAUUACAUUUGAUCAGGACAAGGUUAACAGGUUAGCGGCUGCUGUAAGGUCCUUUGCGCAUGUGCAUAUCGCGCAGCUGUCAAAAGCGCGCGCAUUUCAAAAUUGGUAGUGACAGGUCGUUCGCAUAACGUAGCCCACCGGAUAUAUGGCCAUAUUCAGAGAGAAAUUAGUUAAACAAGUUCCGCAAAGAAGAGCACAAAUUCGGACGGACGGUCUAUGCGUUCCGAUCUCGCUCGGGCAAGAGCACGUUGUAGGCAAAACGUCCAUUGCACUUCUAGACGCAGUAGUUUGAAGAGACUGUUCCACACGUAAUGGCUACGUAUGCCUUGCCAAACAUGUUGUUUUGUAGGCUCUACGCGCGAGAAAAGCGCAUCGAUGGCCCCUACCUUAAACUUUUGUGAUCGGGAGUACUUAGGAGCGUACUUACGCGAGGGAGAGUGCAGUAAACGGGGUACUAGCUGGAGACUUGAACCUGCUCGCCUUGUCGUAGAAUGUGUCACGCGCCGAAGGUGUCGGCCAGCAUAGCUAUUUGCGUUUGUAACCAACACGUAAGGAUUUCUGCCUUUCCGCUCUCUCUCUUUCUUUUGCUGAAUUAUAUUCCUUUCACAUCAUCCAUCGUGUUUAUGGCCGGCCGAUACCAUUGAUAACGAGGGCGGAGCGCUGCAGAACCAUUGAUAAAGUACGAAAAAGUAUAAGCAUUGGAAACAGGAAUAGAACCCUUACAUUAUCCCAGCUAGGAUAAGGAAACGGGAAUGACACUCAUGUGUAGUAGCAGAUUGUGAGUAAAGCUUUGCUGGUAUUUUAUGUCCAUUUAAUCAUAAAGCCAACAAUUGUUAUCGAGAACCACAAUUUCUUUCCCCUCCUGAUCUGCCUAACCUAUUCUUGACUUGGACCUUUUUAUUCUGGCUUUGUUUAGCAUCUUUCACUUCGGUACCGACUUCUCGUUGUUUCAUGCACUAAAAUGCACUGUUAACUACUGUAUUAGGCAAAUUGUUGGUUCUUGCUUACAUUCUCUCGUUAGCAUAUAGUUGGAGUGUCAUUUCUUGCGAGGGAAGGAGCAUAUUUUAAUGAAGAGAAAGGAGGAGAGGUCAGCCGGGAGAGCGUGUCUCUAGCCUGCUACUCCUCACUGGCGUAAGGCGUAGUGGGAGAUACAAGGAAAGAGAGAGACAGAUGGCACAUAACUAUAAUAUAGUAGAAUGAGCAACUAUAUAAAUGUCCAGUAUGCGGAUGUGCGUUUUAGAUGCACUUCAAGCAGGAGUAAUUGUGUCCACACAAUAAAACACAAACACAUUUUGCACAGUUUUAACAACACGGUCCUGGGUAUGGUCAACUUGUUUCCAUGUGCCGAAAAUCUUCCAAAAGGGGACGGGAGUCCAAAUGUUCACACUAUUCUUAAGUGUCCUUCGCUCGGCCACAUAUUGAGGGCACAUGCGAAGUGCCCUCAAUACAUGUCUAUUGUCUCUGGAGUGUGACAGAUGCUACAGUCAAGGUCCCGCUCCUGUCCAAUCUUGUGAAGAUAUCGGCAAGUGUCACACUGACAUACUGUGUAUGUGCAUCAUAUCAGAUAAAUAUGAAGUCACUUGUAAUAACUUUUCAUCAGUUUCAUUGCAUUUAUCCUGUAUAGUUUGUCUGCUUAUAACCUUAUUAUCACUAUAAUAAUGUUUUAUUAAUGUAUGUCCACAGUAAUUUAAUUAUUGUCAAAUCUUGCCAUACUUAAUACAUGCUCCAAUUCUACAAAAAUAAUUCAAAAUUGAACACUCAAAAGGCAGACUGUGUCAAUGUAGAGCUGCAGUUUAAUUAGUACCACAUCUAACAAUUAUUUUUUCACUGGCACACUUACCUUUACAGUGGACAGCCACUGUGAAAACAUAUUAUGCAAAUGCUAGCUGCUUUCUUUCUUUUUUUAAUCACUUUGUGACAAUUGCUUGUGGUCAAUAAAUGCAUAUUAAAAAGGUUGCAUACUGAAGCAGUGCCAAAUCCAUCCAAGAAUGCUUGCUACCUGGCUGCAAUCAUUGCUUGUCUCGUCAAUCUAUCCUUUUUUUUUUUUUCAGGCAUGCUAAACUGAAGAAUGAAGCACCAUAUGCACUCACUAUGAAUGAACAGUACUCAUUCAUUCUGCAAGAAAUUAUGCAUGCAAAGUGAAAUGUUGCAGCUGUACUCAUUUCUUCCCAUUUUAAUGCAUAUGGUUGGUCGAGCACACACGCGAAUACAGAAGCAGAAACAUUUCAAAAGAACAGGUUGCGAGUAAGAGACAGACAAUGGCGCUGCAUGCAUCCCUUCCUUACGUCUCAUUCUUGUGCCAUUUCUGUUCAAGUUGUGAUCCUACCAGCUGAGCUUCGACCCAGCGCUUGUCUGCUUCUAGUGUCCCUUGUAGUUUGCACUGUUCACUUGCAUGUAAUGAUGUACCAACUUUCUCCAGCCAGCUACUCUACUACAGCCCAGAUGUGCACGCUUUUGUCAACACAUGUGCGACUAUGUAAGAUUCACAUUAAUAUAGUGCUUUCUUUUUUUGUUUUCAUGUGAUUAGCAAUUUAAAAAUGCAUAUGGGUAGUUAUUAGAACCAUGCUUCAAACAUAAUGCUUUUUCUUUUUCCAGAUUCGUGGUUAAAUAUGCCGUGCAUUGAACAAUUCCAAAUUCACCCUUGACAAUGCUGUGUGCUGAACCAUCAGGCCACUGAGCCUGUGGGAAAGCCAGCCUCUCAGCAUCCAAAGGGAGAGAACAGACACAGUAAUAAUUGAAGGCCCACGAAAGGGACAGGAACAAUGGCACAAAGCGGCCCGUUGGUCCGAACAGCCGCAUUUAUAUGGAUGUGACACUAUCCCAGUGUAUUUCUUAGCACAUCACUUUAAUACUUGUGUAUCAUCGUUUGCACAUGGUCCAUCCUUCUUCGACUGAAACAAGCUGACUCAUGUCCCAGCAAUUCGCAUUCCGCUGGUGAACGGAUUUGACUGCGCGGCCACAACCUUCUCGAUUUUCCUCUUUCUCUCAAUGCAAUGUACCAACAUUUACGCGCACCGCAUAGUGUGGCUUGCCCUGUAUCGAAUUGUACUCUUCCGUUGCAUCAAUGCGAAUAGCCCUUCCUUCCACAUUGCAUCAUUUACACGGAUGUGAUGUACCACUUGUUGCAUUUAUGCAAACACCACUAAUUGCUACCUCAAUUCGUGGCCAUAUCUGGCUUUCUGUGGCAGCACACUGUAUUCCUGCUAGAUUGCUUUAGCUUAAUGCAAUGUGUACCCACACAGCAGCAUCAUUUACAUGUGCAAGUGGUCCUGUACAAGCACACAUGCUGUGACACUAUGUUGUGUGAAUGCUAAUAUACUGUUCGAAUUCCCCAACAAUUAAGGUAUGGUAAAUCAUUCCAUUUUGAGCUCGUUUGUGCAGUUGCAUUGCGUGCCAUUAGUUUGCAUUGAAAUCACAUCUUUUUUCUGAGUCGUCAGGCAUAGCAUCCCUCUACAUUUAUUCGUGGCUACCUCAUCUAGUGAAAGUUCAUUUCAACAAAUUUAAAAGGGCCUCAAGAGUCUGCUUAUUCAAGCGACUGUUCGUUCAAGUAAAAUGUAAAUACAUCAUGUUUUUAUUGGCCUGGGGACUGUUGCCAUUGUACGUUCACAUGAGAUGUUGGUGUUUGAUCGAGUAAUAUUUCCCUGUAGCUGUUAAAAUGCAGUGUUUUGCUAUUAUAGCAUACAUGUAAUACAUAAAGCCAGUUUCCACUGCAGUUCUGUUUAGCUUUUUUUCACAUUCCUGUGCAUUGUUUCUUCUUGAGAACAAGAAUUGCUGACCUUUAUGUGAAAAACAAACCCUUCCAUUCAGAUGCAAAAUUGUUUAAUGCAUUUCCAUUUAGUUCUUCUGUGACGCAUGUAUAACCAAUACAAAGUGCUCUGCAUCAUAAUGCUUUUGUCCUUGUUAUGCCUGUACAUAUUUGUAUCUUUCAGCAACAUACUUACUCCGUAGAGGAGCUUAUAAUCAGUAAUGUUGCAAUAGUAGUAGCUGUAUUUCAUCUAGUAAUUAACCCUUGCCUGUUGUGCACAACAUAUCAAAACGGUACAGCUAUGCACAGUAACACAAUGUAUUUUUCUCGCACUAUCAUUCCUUCUUACCGUUGACAUAUACCAGUAAUGAUUAGCGGGUUGUUAGUUGUGCAAUGUGGUUUAUAUAUAUAUAUAUAUAUAUACACGCUAGGACAAAUUAGUCCACAGCAAGCACAAGACAAUAAAAAACCAUGCGAACACAAGCCCUAGCCUUGCAGCUAGCGCCAGUGCAGUGACUCGCACCUCCUUUGCUACAGUUGCAUUAUUGUGGAAAGAUGUGACCUAUGUUACCCGUUAAUGAAAAUUCAUCACAUCUUUGUAUUGUUAAAGCAUGCACUUUGUUAAUUAUACUUUAAGAAGAUUCUGUGCAUUAGCUUCAGAUGGCUCCAUCAUAUACAGCUUUCUUUUUUUUUAUCACCAUGUUGUGAGGCUUCGUACAUGUUACUGUGUAUUCAUUGCAACAUUGUACAAUUUGUAUAGGUUAUAAAUGGCGAUACGAGAUGUCAUAUUUAUGUCACGUUCUGGUACUUCUAUUUCCGCGUGACUGUAAGUUCACAUCAUUAGUUGAUUUUAGUAAACAAUGAAUAGCUAUAAUUAUUUACAAAUAAUUGCAGUGUACAGCUCAAGUAAGCAUUUGUUGUUGUUCUUGUUGUUGUUAAUAAAAUAGUUUUAUAUAUGUACACAGAAACCAACAACAUGAGAAAGGGAUAGAGCAUAAAAGAAAGCUUAGAAACCCGAAUAAGAAUGGCACCACACUGGCCAUUUCCUUUACCCUGUCAAGACAAGGAAUUUCUAUCGCGCAGUGUUACUGUUACCUGACUAGUGCAUUUACCCUCCUAUCAUUUAUGUGGUGGGCUUCUGUUAUCACUCUUGUAUCUUUCUGGCAAAAUUAGCGCCCGGAAGAAAAGUUGGUGUGGGGUUUUCGUGCUGUUCUUCACACUGGUUUCGAUUGUUGCCUCUUCAAAUUGCCAAACUUUUCAGUUCAUUAGUAAGCUACAGUAGUAUGGAUGAGGAGCAAAUGCAUUGCUUUCCUCGCAGCAUGGCCGUCAUCGCUGAUUGUAAUGUCUGCUGCAAACAGUACAUCUGAGCACCAUGUCCUUGUACCCAUUGUGUCCCAGCCAGCGCCCAUGAAGCAAACCCCACAUGAAACAGCAACUACCGACCUGCUUAGCCAGGCAGCCCGUCAUGGAGGUAGAGAUGUUGCGAGACCUCAGUCGAUGACUGUCAUCUGCGAGACAGCUCCUAUCACCGACAUCGAAUGGGCCAGGAGUGGCUUGACAGGUGUCGCCCCUGCCACAGCUCAUAGUGAGCAGUCAAAUGGAGACAGCACCAACGACAAGCAGGAUGCUAGACUGAGGAUUUCUCCAUUCGUAAUGAAACCCCAUCCCUGCUACCUCCGUCCAAUGAUGUUUAAUGCCCCCUCUCACCUGGAAGACCACCUGAGAUCAGAUACCAAGGAGAGCCCAUUCCAGUGCACCCACUGUUACAAGAGGUUUACGGUAAAGAGGAACCUCUACCGGCACAUACGGCAAAAGCACAGUUGAGAAGACUGUUUGUGUGAAACCGACCAGUGAGCAAGUGACAAUGAGGAGUUUUAAAUGUAGUGGACCCAAAGUUAGUGAAUGACAGCUGCCUUAUCCACAAAAUAUAUUAAGCAGAGUGUAGGUUUCGUACAUGCGCAGUGGCUCUGAUGCUAUCUUUGGGCACAUUAAAACUUAAUAUAUUUAUGAGCAGCAGAUGCAAGCAACAGAACAUAUGUAAAGGAUCGGGUCAGCAGCUUGCAUGAAGCCUAAACUCGGCUUGAGUUCUUAAUUACCCAGGGUGGAUGGCAUACACUAACUUCAGGUGCCUCCGAUGCAAUCACUUCUCUUGAAAGCUCUAACAAUGGUCCCCAAAAGAGUUUGUACAUUUCAUCAAACAAGUGCAGUGCAUAAUAUAUUUUCAGACCUUCAAGUACAAAGUUGGUAUGCAAAUUACAUGCAAAUCCUUCUGUUGAUGCGUGGUGUGGCUUCACUGCAACUUCUCACAAGGUCACAUUGCGAUUCAACAUGGCAGUACGCACAAUGUUAAUGACCAAAGAUGCAAACAGAGUUGUUUCUGAAUAUAUUGUUCAAAUGCUGA